GAUGAACGCUGGCGGCGUGCCUAAUACAUGCAAGUCGAGCGAACAGACGAGGAGCUUUCUCCUCUGACGUUAGCGGCGGACGGGUGAGUAACACGUGUAUAACCUACCUAUAAGACUGGGAUAACUUCGUGAAACCGUAGCUAAUACCGGAUAAUAUAUUGAACCGCAUGGUUCAAUAGUGAAAGACGGUUUUGCUGUCGCUUAUAGAUGGAUCCGCGCCGCAUUAGCUAGUUGGUAAGGUAACGGCUUACCAAGGCGACGAUGCGUAGCCGACCUGAGAGGGUGAUCGGCCACACUGGAACUGAGACACGGUCCAGACUCCUACGGGAGGCAGCAGUAGGGAAUCUUCCGCAAUGGGCGAAAGCCUGACGGAGCAACGCCGCGUGAGUGAUGAAGGUCUUCGGAUCGUAAACUUCUGUUAUUAGGGAAGAAAAAAUGUGUAAGUAAAUAUGCACGUCUUGACGGUACCUAAUCAGAAAGCAACGGCUAACUACGUG
rnacentral:rRNA from 1 species